rnacentral:rRNA from 1 species
UACGUAGGGUGCAAGCGUUAUCCGGAAUUAUUGGGCGUAAAGAGCUCGUAGGCGGUUUGUCGCGUCUGCUGUGAAAACUGGAGGCUCAACCUCCAGCCUGCAGUGGGUACGGGCAGACUAGAGUCCGGAAGAGGAGAGUGGAAUUCCUGGUGUAGCGGUGAAAUGCGCAGAUAUCAGGAAGAACACCUAUGGCGAAGGCAGCUCUCUGGGACGGUACUGACGCUGAGACGCGAAAGCGUGGGGAGCGAACAGG